rnacentral:rRNA from 1 species
AGAGUUUGAUCCUGGCUCAGGACGAACGCUGGCGGCGUGCCUAACACAUGCAAGUCGAGCGGAGAUUGCAGCAAUGUAAUUUUAGCGGCGGACUGGUGAGUAACGCGUGGGCAACCUGCCUUGUACAGGGGGAUAACACAGGGAAACUUGUGCUAAUACCGCAUAACAUCACUUAGAGGCAUCUAAGAGUGAUCAAAGGA